CCUACGGGUGGCAGCAGUGAGGAAUAUUGGUCAAUGGACGAGAGUCUGAACCAGCCAAGUAGCGUGAAGGAUGACUGCCCUAUGGGUUGUAAACUUCUUUUAUAAAGGAAUAAAACGAGGCACGUGUGCCUUUUUGCAUGUACUUUAUGAAUAAGGAUCGGCUAACUCCGUGCCAGCAGCCGCGGUAAUACGGAGGAUCCGAGCGUUAUCCGGAUUUAUUGGGUUUAAAGGGAGCGUAGAUGGGUUGUUAAGUCAGUUGUGAAAGUUUGCGGCUCAACCGUAAAAUUGCAAUUGAUACUGGCAGUCGUGAGUACAGUUGAGGUAGGCGGAAUUCGGGGUGUAGCGGUGAAAUGCUUAGAUAUCACGAAGAACCCCGAUUGCGAAGGCAGCUAAAAAACCUGUGACUGACAUUGAUGCUCGAAAGUGGGGGUAUCAAACAGGAUUAGAUACCCAAGUAGUC
rnacentral:rRNA from 1 species